rnacentral:rRNA from 1 species
CUUAGAGUUUGAUCAUGGCUCAGAUUGAACGCUGGCGGCAGGCUUAACACAUGCAAGUCGAGCGGUAACAGAGAGUAGCUUGCUACUCUGCUGACGAGCGGCGGACGGGUGAGUAAUGCCUAGGAAUCUGCCUAGUAGUGGGGGAUAACUUGCCGAAAGGUAAGCUAAUACCGCAUACGUCCUACGGGAGAAAGCAGGGGACCUUCGGGCCUUGCGCUAUUAGAUGAGCCUAGGUCGGAUUAGUUAGUUGGUGAGGUAAUGGCUCACCAAGACCGCGAUCCGUAACUGGUCUGAGAGGAUGAUCAGUCACACUGGAACUGAGACACGGUCCAGACUCCUACGGGAGGCAGCAGUGGGGAAUAUUGGACAAUGGGGGCAACCCUGAUCCAGCCAUGCCGCGUGUGUGAAGAAGGUCUUAGGAUUGUAAAGCACUUUAAGUUGGGAGGAAGAGCAGUUAACUAAUACUUGAUUGUUUUGACGUUACCGACAGAAUAAGCACCGGCUAACUUCGUGCCAGCAGCCGCGGUAAUACGAAGGGUGCAAGCGUUAAUCGGAAUUACUGGGCGUAAAGCGCGCGUAGGUGGUUCGUUAAGUUAGGAGUGAAAGCCCCGGGCUCAACCUGGGAAUUGCUUCUAAAACUGGCGGACUAGAGUAUGGUAGAGGGUGGUGGAAUUUCCUGUGUAGCGGUGAAAUGCGUAGAUAUAGGAAGGAACAUCAGUGGCGAAGGCGACCACCUGGACUGAUACUGACACUGAGGUGCGAAAGCAUGGGGAGCAAACAGGAUUAGAUACCCUGGUAGUCCAUGCCGUAAA